UACGUAGGUGGCAAGCGUUUAUCCGGAAUUAUUGGGCGUAAAGCGCGCGCAGGCGGUUUCUUAAGUCUGAUGUGAAAGCCCACGGCUCAACCGUGGAGGGUCAUUGGAAACUGGGGAACUUGAGUGCAGAAGAGAAAAGCGGAAUUCCACGUGUAGCGGUGAAAUGCGUAGAGAUGUGGAGGAACACCAGUGGCGAAGGCGGCUUUUUGGUCUGUAACUGACGCUGAGGCGCGAAAGCGUGGGGAGCAAACAG
rnacentral:rRNA from 1 species